AUGGCGCCGUCACUCCCGCCUCCGCCGCUGAUCGAAGACGUCACCGACGAGAUCCUCCUCCGCCUCCCGCCGGACGAGCCCGAGCACCUCUUCCGCGCCGCCCUCGUCUGCAAGACGUGGCUCCGCACCCUCUGCGACCCUGGCUUCCUCCGCCGCUACCGCACCUUCCACGGCACCCCUCCCCUCCUCGGCCUCCUCCACAGGCUCCAGGUCCUCGAAGGACCCCCCGCGCGUCGCUUCGCCUCUACCACAUCGGUGCCGGACUUCCCCCACCCGAGCUCCGGCGACCCCUGGGAGCGCGCCCUCGACUGCCGCCACGGCCGCGUCCUCAUCUAUAUGAGGACGGACGACAAUGCGGACUACCUCGUCUGGGAUCCCGUCACGGGCGAGCGCCACGGCGUGCCCUCGCCGGACAUCGAUUGGCUCAUCGAGUCUGCGGUGGUGCUCUGUGCCGCCGACGGCUGCGACCACCUCGACUGCCACGGCGGCCCCUUCCGCGUGGUCUUCGCGGCCACCCACGACUACAAAGAUACCAUAUUUGCGAGCGUCUACUCAUCAGAGACGGGUGUGUGGAGCGUGCCAGUGUGUCUUGACAAGAGCUGUGAAGUCUUUGCCCAGCAUAUGCGAGAGGGGCUUGCAGACAGACCAUACUACACGCCCUAUCUCCAGCCUAGGCGAGGCACCCUUGUUGGAGAUGCAGUCUACUUCACAGUUCGGUGGGGUAAUCCAAUCGUCAAGUAUGACUUGGGCAAGAAUUGCUUAUCCAUGAUUGACCCACCGGCAGAGGACGUCUACUACGUUUCCCUCAUGGUGAUGGAGAACAGUUCACUGGGCUUUGCCUGCACUCGGGAUUCCAGCCUUCGUAUGUGGUCAAGGAAGGUGGAUACAGAAGAAGCUGCUGACUGGGUACAAUACAGGGUCAUUGAGCUGGAGAAAACAAUUCCUGUUGCCAAUCCUGAUGACAUACCAGUUGUGGUCGGCUUUGCGGAGGGUGUCGGUGUCAUCUUCAUUAGCACAUGUAUUGGCUUAUUUAUGAUCAAGCUCAAGUCAGGGUUGGUUAGGAAGGUUGGCGAGUCUGGGGUCUACUUUAGCGUCCUACCCUACAUGAGCUUCUACACUCCAGAUCGUGGCAGAUUGUUGUCGCUGGCAAGGACUAACUGA
rnacentral:rRNA from 1 species